rnacentral:rRNA from 1 species
UUUAUGGAGAGUUUGAUCCUGGCUCAGGACGAACGCUGGCGGCGUGCCUAAUACAUGCAAGUCGAGCGGAUCUUCUUAAGUAGCUUGCUACUUAAGAAGGUUAGCGGCGGACGGGUGAGUAACACGUAGGCAACCUGCCCAUAAGACCGGGAUAACAUUCGGAAACGAAUGCUAAGACCGGAUACGCAGAAUUGGGGCAUCUCGAUUCUGGGAAACACGGUGCAAGCUGUGGCUUAUGGAUGGGCCUGCGGCGCAUUAGCUAGUUGGUGGGGUAACGGCCUACCAAGGCGACGAUGCGUAGCC